UAUUUGAUUUUGUUUUGGCAGAAUCUUAACCAGUGGAUUAGGUAUUCGGCCGAACCCCAAGAAUCUGGAUUCGGUGCAUCCCUAAUAGUUAUUGUAUGUUGGGAUCA